UACGGAGGGUGCGAGCGUUAAUCGGAAUUACUGGGCGUAAAGCGCACGCAGGCGGUUUGUUAAGCUAGAUGUGAAAGCCCCGGGCUCAACCUGGGAUGGUCAUUUAGAACUGGCAGACUAGAGUCUUGGAGAGGGGAGUGGAAUUCCAGGUGUAGCGGUGAAAUGCGUAGAUAUCUGGAGGAACAUCAGUGGCGAAGGCGACUCCCUGGCNAAAGACUGACGCUCAUGUGCGAAAGUNUGGGUAGCGAACAGG
rnacentral:rRNA from 1 species